rnacentral:tRNA from 1 species
GCCACCUUAGCUCAGCUGGUAGAGCAACUGUUUUGUAAACAGUAGGUCGCCGGUUCGAGUCCGGCCGGUGGCU